rnacentral:rRNA from 1 species
CCCUCCCUCCCCGACGCCUCAGUAGGGAAUAUUGCUCAAUGGGGCCAACCCUUCCUCCUCCCCUCCUCUUUUCUUCUUCCUUUUUUCGGAUUGUAAACUCCUUUUGUUAUAUAAGAUAAUGACGGUAUCUAACGAAUAAGCACCGGCUAACUCCUUGCCAGCAGCCGCGGUAAUACGGAGGGUGCAAGCGUUACUCGGAAUCACUGGGCGUAAAGAGCGCGUAGGCGGGAUAGCAAGUCAGAUGUGAAAUCCUAUGGCUUAACCAUAGAACUGCAUUUGAAUCUGUUAUUCUAGAGUAUGGGAGA